rnacentral:rRNA from 1 species
CGAUAGGCUAAUUAAGGGCGUAUGGGGAAUGCCUAGGCUCUCAGAGGCGAAGAAGGACGUGAUAAGCUGCGAAAAGCUGCGGGGAUUGGCACAUACGAGUUGAUCCGCAGAUAUCCGAAUGGGGCAACCCACUAUAUUGAAGAUAUAGUAUUCUGAACUUGUUUCAGGAAGCAAACCCGGGGAACUGAAACAUCUAAGUACCCGGAGGAGAAGAAAACAAAAGUGAUUCCGUAAGUAGUGGCGAGCGAACGCGGAGCAGCCCAAACCAUAGUUGUUACGGCAAUUGUGGGGUAAUAGGACCACGCCAUUUGAUGCUUAAUGAAUUAGAAUCUACUGGAAAGUAGGACCAAAGAGGGUGAUAGUCCCGUAUAGGUAAGUUGAGUUAUUGAUAGUGGUAUCCUGAGUAGUGCGGGGCACGUGAAACCUUGCAUGAAUUUGCCGGGACCAUCCGGUAAGGCUAAAUACUCCUGAGAGACCGAUAGUGAACCAGUACCGUGAGGGAAAGGUGAAAAGAACCCUGAAUAAGGGAGUGAAAUAGAUCCUGAAACCAUACGCUUACAAGCGGUCGGAGUGCUGAAUUUAUUUCAGUAUGACGGCGUGCCUUUUGCAUAAUGAGCCUACGAGUUACCGUUGCUAGCAUGGUUAAUCCGUUCAGCGGAGAAUCCGAAGCGAAAGCGAGUCUGAAUAGGGCGAAAUAGUUAGCAGUGGUAGACGCGAAACCGAGUGAUCUACCCAUGAGCAGGUUGAAGCUGUGGUAACACACCGUGGAGGACCGAACCCGUUGACGUUGAAAAGUCUUGGGAUGACUUGUGGGUAGGGGUGAAAGGCCAAUCAAACUCGGAAAUAGCUCGUACUCCCCGAAAUGCAUUUAGGUGCAGCGUUGUAAAAGUUAUAUAGAGGUAGAGCUACUGAUUGGAUGCGGGGGCUUCACCGCCUACCAAUUCCUGACAAACUCCGAAUGCUAUAUAAUGAUUUACAGCAGUGAGGGCAUGGGUGCUAAGGUCCAUGUCCGAGAGGGAAAGAACCCGGACCAUCAGCUAAGGUCCCCCAGUGUAUACUAAGUUGAAAAAACGCGGUUUGACUGCCCAGACAGCUAGGAUGUUGGCUUGGAAGCAGCCAUUCAUUUAAAGAGUGCGUAACAGCUCACUAGUCGAGCGGUCAAGCAUGGAUAAUAAUCGGGCAUAAGUAUACCACCGAAGCUAUGGAUUCAUUCGUUAAGCGAAUGAGUGGUAGGGGAGCAUUCUAUGUGCGUUGAAGGUGAACUGCGAGGUUUGCUGGAGCGCAUAGAAAAGAAAAUGUAGGCAUAAGUAACGACAAUGCGGGCGAGAAACCCGCACACCGAAAGACUCAGGAUUCCUCAGCUAUGCUAAUCAGCUGAGGGUUAGUCGGGGCCUAACGCGAACCCGGAAGGGGUAGUGGAUGGACAACGGGUUAAUAUUCCCGUACCUGCCGGCGCUAAACGUGACGGAGGGGAGAAGAUAUUGCGUACUGACGGAAUAGUACGUUGAAGCAACUGUUAAGGUUGUGAUAGUACACCAAGGCUUCGGCUGCGGUGAUAAUAUAUCGGAUCCACUUCCAAGAAAAGCAAGCCAGGCAGCCCGUACCGCAAACCGACACAGGUAGUUGGGAUGAGAAUUCUAAGGUGCUCGAGAGAUUCAUGGCUAAGGAACUAGGCAAAAUGGGCCCGUAACUUCGGGAGAAGGGUCGCCAGCAGCAAUGCUGGCCGCAGUGAAAAGGUCCAGGCGACUGUUUAUCAAAAACACAGGACUCUGCAAAGUUGAAAGACGACGUAUAGGGUCUGACACCUGCCCGGUGCCGGAAGGUUAAGUGGAGAUGUUAUCUUCGGAGACGCAUUGAAAUGAAGCCCCGGUAAACGGCGGCCGUAACUAUAACGGUCCUAAGGUAGCGAAAUUCCUUGUCGGGUAAGUUCCGACCUGCACGAAUGGUGUAACGAUCUGGACACUGUCUCAGCCAUGAGCUCGGUGAAAUUGUAGUAUCGGUGAAGAUGCCGAUUACCCGCUACGGGACGAAAAGACCCCGUGCACCUUUACUAUAGCUUCGUAUUGUCCUUGGAUAAGUAAUGUGUAGGAUAGGUGGGAGACUAUGAAGCGGCGUCGCCAGGCGUUGUGGAGUCAUUGUUGAAAUACCACCCUUUGCUUAUUUGAGGCCUAACCUGAGUAAUCGGGGACAGUGCGUGGUGGGUAGUUUGACUGGGGUGGUCGCCUCCAAAAGAGUAACGGAGGCUUCUAAAGGUACCCUCAGCACGCUUGGUAACCGUGCGUAGAGUGCAAUGGCAUAAGGGUGCUUGACUGAGAGACCUACAAGUCGAUCAGGUUGGAAACAAGAGCAUAGUGAUCCGGUGGUUCCGCAUGGAAGGGCCAUCGCUCAAAGGAUAAAAGGUACGCCGGGGAUAACAGGCUGAUCUCCCCCAAGAGCUCACAUCGACGGGGGGGUUUGGCACCUCGAUGUCGGCUCGUCACAUCCUGGGGCUGGAGAAGGUCCCAAGGGUUGGGCUGUUCGCCCAUUAAAGUGGCACGCGAGCUGGGUUCAGAACGUCGUGAGACAGUUCGGUCUCUAUCUGUAGUGGGCGUUAGAAAUUUGCGUGGAUCUGUCUUUAGUACGAGAGGACCGAGAUGGACUGACCUCUGGUGUAUCGGUUGUUCCGCCAGGAGCAUUGCCGAGUAGCUACGUCGGGAAGGGAUAAGCACUGAAAGCAUAUAAGUGCGAAACCCACCACAAGAUGAGAUUUCUUUUAAGGGUCGUAGGAGACGACUACGUUGAUAGGUCAUAGGUGUAGAGGCAGUAAUGUCUUAGCCGAGUGAUACUAAUUACCCGUAAGCCUAUCGUG